AUCCAGAUGACGAGUUCCAAAUAAGACGAAGUGCACAUCUUGGAU
rnacentral:hammerhead_ribozyme from 1 species